rnacentral:rRNA from 1 species
UACAGAGGUCUCAAGCGUUGUUCGGAUUCAUUGGGCGUAAAGGGUGCGUAGGCGGCGCGGUAAGUCGGGUGUGAAAUCUCGGAGCUUAACUCCGAAACUGCAUUCGAUACUGCCGUGCUUGAGGACUGGAGAGGAGACUGGAAUUUACGGUGUAGCGGUGAAAUGCGUAGAUAUCGUAAGGAAGACCAGUGGCGAAGGCGGGUCUCUGGACAGUUCCUGAGGCUGAGGCACGAAGGUCAGGGGAGCAAACGGG